AGAUUGAACGCUGGCGGAAUGCUUUACACAUGCAAGUCGAGCGGCAGCGCGGGCAACCUGGCGGCGAGCGGCGAACGGGUGAGUAAUGCAUCGGAACAUGUCCAUGUCGUGGGGGAUAGCCCGGCGAAAGCCGGAUUAAUACCGCAUACGCCCGAGAGGGAAAGCCGGGACCGCAAGGCCUGGCGCGAGUUGGGUUGGCCGAUGUCCGAUUAGCUUAGUUGGCGGGUAAUCGGCCCACCAAGGCGAUGAUCGGCAGCGUGGUCUGAGAGGAUGAUCAGCCACACGUGGACUGACGACACGGCCCAGACCUCCGUACGGGAGCGAGCGAGGUGGGUAAUUUGGACAAGUGGGGACCACCCGUGAC
rnacentral:rRNA from 1 species